AUUGAACGCUGGCGGCAGGCCUAACACAUGCAAGUCGAGCGAGCGGCGGACGGGUGAGUAAUGUAUGGGGACUGCCCGUUAGAGGGGGAUAACUACUGGGAACGGUGGCUAAUACCGCAUACUAUCGGAUAACCCAUAUGGGAUUAGCUAGUAGGUGGGGGAAAGGCUAACCUAGGCGACGAGCUCUAGCUGGUCUGAGAGGAUGAGCAGCCACACUGGAACUGGGACACGGCCCGGACUCCUACGGAGGCAGCAGUGGGGAAUAUUGCACAAUGGGCGCAAGCCUGAUGCAGCCAUGCCGCGUGUAUGAAGAAGGCCUUAGGGUGGUAAAGUACUUUCAGCGGGGAGGCGUUACCCGCAGAAGAAGCACCGGCUAACUCCGUGCCAGCAGCCGCGGUAAUUC
rnacentral:rRNA from 1 species